rnacentral:tRNA from 1 species
GCCUUUAUGGCGUAGUGGUAGCGCGUCGCACUUGUAUCUCAAUAAUGGGGUUAUGCGAAGGUCACUCGUUCAAUCCGGGUUGGAGGCA